rnacentral:lncRNA from 1 species
ACACAAUUCAUUUAUUUACCCAUCUUUGUAAUUAUGCGUUUCAGCUUUGAUGUGAGCAAGGACAAGGUGCAGUGAUGACAGGCAGGUCCAUCACAUCAGAGCCCAGGAACAGAAGUAUCUUCUCUGAGCUGGUGCCUGACAAUUCGAAAUCAAAGGGCAUCUGGUGGAAGAUUACAGUUACAACAGUUUGGGGAAAAGGAAACAAAACCACUGUUCAUCCCUGCAAUGGGAUAUCUUGUGACAAACAUCUUACUCUAACUGAGCCAGAGAAGACCAAGCUGGAUCCCCGAACUUCCUACACUGGUAGCCUCUACCAAAGUAUGUGUGGAUGCCUGCGAGCUAUACCAUCUACUGAAGGGGACAGCUGGGUAAGAACAUUCUUUCUCCAUGUUUGGGAGCCUGGGAGGGUUGAGGGUAUUUUUAACAUUUUUUGUACCUGUGUGCAUUGCCACAUGCCCUUUGGAGCCUCAUAUGUGAUGUCUUUGUGGAGUGAUGCUGAGAGCUCUCUGGCUGAAAAGUCAUGGGGUUGGUGCACAGAGCCAAUCUGUUCUCCCAGGUCUGCUCCAACCACUCUGAGGUUUGACUGGGUGGAUAUAGCCACAACCACAAUUAAAAAUGAGGAUUUUUACAGUUCAUUUAACUGGUAG